rnacentral:rRNA from 1 species
ACGUACUGUGCGAACGUUAUUCGGAAUCACUGGGCUUAAAGGGUGCGUAGGCGGCGAUUCAAGUCAGAUGUGAAAUGCCUGAGCUCAACUGAGGCAUUGCGUUUGAAACUGAAUUGCUAGAGUAUCCUAGGGGUGUGCGGAACUGCCAGUGGAACGGUGAAAUGUGUUGAUAUUGGCAGGAACACCGGAGGCGAAAGCGGCACACUGGGGGAUAACUGACGCUGAGGCACGAAAGCCAAGGGAGCGAACGGGAUUAGAUACCCCGGUAGUCUUGGCCGUAAACGAUGAGUACUGGGCGGGAGGGGGUUUCCCCUUUCUGCCGUAGCGAAAGCGUUAAGUACUCCGCCUGGGGAGUAUGGUCGCAAGGCUG